CUCUCCCGCUCCGUGGCACUUAAGUCCAGAUUAGCUCUGACCAUUCCCGCACGCAAGCAGAGAGCGAGCGGCACAGCACUCCAGUGCCUAAGACCUUAGGUGGGUCGUUUGCUUCGAGCCAAUUCACUCACGUUUGAAAUGUCCAAAUCCAAGUCAAAAGUUCAGUGCAUCUUUUCUGAGACCAGAGAUGACGUCACUUGUCUUAAAGCUCAUCUGGUUUAAAGAAUGAAGAUAUGACUUCCUGAAGUUCUAGGCCACAUUCUACAAGUCAGUUUGGAGACUGAAAAUACUAUGGAGCUUUUUGGGAAGAAACUUUAUUCU